UCCAUAAUGUCAUGUUGCUAAUGCUUAUGUAUCUUCAAAACAGGUUAAAGUCAUUUUGUAUGGAAGGUGAACGAGAACGGAUGAGUGAACAAAUCAUGGUAUUGGAAAACAAGUUGUUGGAAGCACUAGAUUGGAAAUUUAUGCAUGAAACAGAUCUGAAAAAAAAUUCUGAUUUGAUGAUCGAAGAUGUACAUAAUGAUGGUAAUCUCAUCUCCAAACAGGAGUCAAGUUGAAAAUCACGAUGGCAGUCUUUGGUUAGGGAGGAAAAUGAGUUUCUCAAUAUUCAGGUCUAGAUCACACUUGAU